GGGAGAAGGAAGCUGACCUGCGAUCGACGGAAGGUCACUAUGUCUCAUCUGAAAUAAUACCGGACGUAAACUUAGGAAGUGAUGAUCCUUCAUCUCAAGGACACACAGAUCAAAGUAGCGUAAACAAACCGGUAGAGAGCAUGUUGAGUUUGGUUAAAGAGUCAGCCAGUGAGCCAGCUGAAGAGAACAUGAUGGUUGUGCGGGUAGAGACACAGUCGCAAA